GGAUUCCCUCAGUAACGGCGAGUGAAGAGGGAGAAGCCCAGCACCGAAGCCCGUGGUCAUUUGGCCACGAGGCAAUGUGGUGUUUCGGUUGUUCCGCGGGGGCGCUGCUCCACCCCAAGUCCAAAACUGAGUACGGUACAAUGGACCUGGCCCACAGAGGGUGAUAGGCCCGUGGGGGUGGGGACUAGUUUGGCCAGUGCCUCCCUGGAUAGACCUUGGAGUCGGGUUGUUUGUGAAUGCAGCCCAAAGUUGGUGGUAAACUCCAUCAAAGGCUAAAUACUGGCACGAGUCCGAUAGCGAACAAGUACCGUGAGGGAAAGUUGAAAAGUACUUUGAAGAGAGAGUGAACAGUGCGUGAAGCCGAUCAGAGGUAAACGGGUGGAGUUGAACUGUACGCUCUGGGAAUUCAGCCGGUGAGUGUGGCACGAGCUUGGUUGUGUCGGUCGGACCGCGGAGUCUGUGUAGCAGCAGGUCCUUGCCCUUCUGGGUAGGGAUGCGCGAUGCACUUGUCAAGUGUUGUGCGCUCCGCGUGUUCAUCGGGCCGCCUCGCCGGUGCACUUUUCCAGGGUGGUCACCACGACCGGCACGUUGUCGGGCCGUUGCGGUUAAACCGGUCUUGCAUGGUUCAUGUGGCUUUGCAUGGUCGGGAUGGCAGGUAGCCUGUUGACUUGCUUGUGGUUCGCCGCGGGCAUCGGUCUCCGGGUGUAAUCAGCCGACCGUUUCGGUUCUGUGCAGUGUGUCGGAGAUGGCGGCUGUGUGCGUGCGUGCGUGCCCCGUCGGCCUGCGUGUUCGAGUUCUGGUUGUUGAGUAGCCUGUUUGUGCAGGCCUGGUGAUGGCUCGGAUUCGUUGGGUUGGUGGUCGCGUGCGUGGCAUGUUGCAUGAGCCGAUAGUCUGUGGUGUAGCGGUAGACGAUCCACCCGACCCGUCUUGAAACACGGACCAAGGAGAGUAACAUGUGCGCGAGUCAUUGGGCGUGACGAAACCCACGGGCGCAGUGAAAGUGAAGGUUUGGCUUGUCCAGGCCGAGGUGAGAUCCUGUCGUUUCUCAUGCAUGGUACCGCCAAGCUUGGAGCGGCAGGCGCAUCACCGGCCCGUCCCAUGACAGUUGUAUUUCGGUAUCAUAUAGUCGGGGCGGAGCAUGAGCGUACAUGUUGAGACCCGAAAGAUGGUGAACUAUGCUUGCGCAGGCUGAAGCCAGAGGAAACUCUGGUGGAGGGCCGAAGUGGUUCUGACGUGCAAAUCGAUCGCCAGACG
rnacentral:rRNA from 1 species